rnacentral:rRNA from 1 species
ACACAUGCAAGUCGAGCGAAGCGGCUGAAUUGAUUCUUCGGAUGAUUUUCAGUUGACUGAGCGGCGGACGGGUGAGUAACGCGUGGGUGACCUGCCCCAUACCGGGGGAUAACAGCUGGAAACGGCUGCUAAUACCGCAUAAGCGCACAGAGCUGCAUGGCUCCGUGUGAAAAACUCCGGUGGUAUGGGAUGGGCCCGCGUCUGAUUAGGCAGUUGGCGGGGUAACGGCCCACCAAACCGACGAUCAGUAGCCGGCCUGAGAGGGCGACCGGCCACAUUGGGACUGAGACACGGCCCAAACUCCUACGGGAGGCAGCAGUGGGGAAUAUUGCACAAUGGGGGAAACCCUGAUGCAGCGACGCCGCGUGAGCGAAGAAGUAUUUCGGUAUGUAAAGCUCUAUCAGCAGGGAAGAUAAUGACGGUACCUGACUAAGAAGCCCCGGCUAACUACGUGCCAGCAGCCGCGGUAAUACGUAGGGGGCAAGCGUUAUCCGGAUUUACUGGGUGUAAAGGGAGCGUAGACGGCAAGGCAAGUCUGAUGUGAAAACCCAGGGCUUAACCCUGGGACUGCAUUGGAAACUGUCUGGCUCGAGUGCCGGAGAGGUAAGCGGAAUUCCUAGUGUAGCGGUGAAAUGCGUAGAUAUUAGGAAGAACACCAGUGGCGAAGGCGGCUUACUGGACGGUAACUGACGUUGAGGCUCGAAAGCGUGGGGAGCAAACAGGAUUAGAUACCCUGGUAGUCCACGCCG